rnacentral:misc_RNA from 1 species
AAGCUAAACCGUUUAGUAAUACCAAAACAACACGCGGAGAAAUAUUUCCCUCUCGGCGGUGACUCAGGUGAUAAAGGGCUCUUACUGAGUUUCGAGGACGAGUUAGGCAAGUGCUGGAGGUUCAGGUAUUCAUAUUGGAGCAGCAGUCAAAGCUAUGUAUUGACAAAAGGGUGGAGCAGGUAUGUGAAGGAGAAGCAACUCGAUGCAGGCGAUGUCGUUUCAUUUGAACGGCACCGUACGGAAGGUGAGAGGCU